GGUUGGUCCGAGUGCAGUGGUGUUUACAACUGAUUGAUCACAACCAGUUGCAGAUUCCUUUGUUCCUUCUCCAUUCCCACUGCUUCACUUGACCAGCCUUAA
rnacentral:Y_RNA from 1 species